rnacentral:rRNA from 1 species
AUUGAACGCUGGCGGCAGGCCUAACACAUGCAAGUCGAACGAGUGGCGGACGGGUGAGUAAUGUCUGGGAAACUGCCUGCUGGAGGGGGAUAACUACUGGAAACGUUAGCUAAUACCGCAUACCAUCGGAUGUGCCCAGAUGGGUUUAGCUAGUAGGUGGGGUAACGGCUCACCUAGGCGGCGAUCCCUAGCUGGUCUGAGAGGAUGACCAGCCACACUGGAACUGAGACACGGUCCAGACGCCUACGGGGGGCAGCAGUGGGGAAGAUUGCACAAUGGGCGCAAGCCUGAUACAGCCAUGCCGCGUGUAUGAAGAAGGCCUUCGGAUUGUAAAGUACUUUCAGCGGGGAGGCGUUACCCGAAGAAGAAGCACCGGCUAACUCCGUGCCAGCAACCGCGGUAAUAC